rnacentral:rRNA from 1 species
UGCCGCUCUAGUGCCGCAGGGAAGCUGUUAAGCCUGCCGCCUGGGGAGUACGAUCGCAAGAUUGAAACUUAAAGGAAUUGGCGGGGGAGCACCACAAGGGGUGAAGCUUGCGGUUUAAUUGGAGUCAACGCCGGAAAUCUCACCGGGAGCGACAGCAGGUUGAAGGCCAGAUUAAAGGUCUUGCCAGACGAGCUGAGAGGAGGUGCAUGGCCGUCGCCAGUUCGUGCCGUGAGGUGUCCUGUUAAGUCAGGCAACGAUCGAGACCCGCGUCCUCUGUUGCAACCAGUCUUGUGCUGGGCACACUGAGGAGACCGCCGCUGAUAAAGCGGAGGAAGGAGCGGGCCACGGCAGGUCAGUAUGCCCCGAAUCUCCCGGGCCACACGCGAGCUGCAAUGGCAGGUACAAUGGGUUCCGACCUUGAAAGGGGAAGGCAAUCUCGAAAGCCUGCCGUAGUUGGGAUCGAGGGCUGUAACCCGUCCUCGUGAACAUGGAAUCCCUAGUAAUCGCGUGUCAC